rnacentral:rRNA from 1 species
UACGUAGGGUGCAAGCGUUGUCCGGAAUUAUUGGGCGUAAAGAGCGUGUAGGCGGCCAGAUAAGUCCGCUGUGAAAUCUCGAGGCUCAACUUCGAGCUGUCGGUGGAAACUAUCUGGCUAGAGUCCGGAAGAGGAGAAUGGAAUUCCUGGUGUAGCGGUGAAAUGCGCAGACAUCAGGAAGAACACCCGUGGCGAAGGCGGUUCUCUGGGACGGUACUGACGCUGAGACGCGAAAGCGUGGGGAGCGAACAGG